UGUUAGUCUGUAUCCGCAAAAAGAACAGGCGUCCUUGUGGCACCUUAGAGACUAACACAUUUAUUUGAGCACAAGCUUUUGUGGGCUGCAGCCCACUUCAUCGGACGCAUGCCUAGUCUGCGUUCCUAACUCCGCGUGAAACAACAGGGAAGAUUUGCACUCACCCUGGUUUGGGAUGUUGCUCCUCUCUGCCCGGGAGCAAGGUGGGGCCCAGUUUGCCAAAGCUUUAGACAGUGGGGGUGCGGAGGAAGGGGGGAAAAGAGCAGCAUAGCUUUUUUCCCUGUGCGAUCCCCUGGAAAGGAGAGACCCUUAAGGCUCUUCUUGGCUGACAGCUUAGUUUUGGAGAUGAGCCAAGUAUGAUGCCAUGUAGGCGGUAGAGAGACUGCAUCCACUAAGGAAACAUGAAUGCUGCGGAGCCUUGACUAUGCCACAAAGAUCUGUGACUGGGAAAAAACAGCUUCCAUAGAUGGAGGGAUCAAACAGCCCAAGGAGGUGAAGAAUUUGGGAUCAAGACACAGGAAAAAUCAGAUCCUGAUCUACUUCGAUCUGGCCCAACUGCCAUUGAUGUAGCGCUCAAUGGAGCAGGCAAAGCUGCUGUAUGAUACCUUUGUGCUCAUCUGAUCUGCAGAGCUGAGCAGAGCCAUUUUAACCCAUGUCAUAAGUUAGGGCAGCCUCAGAGCUGCUGUAACCUGCACUAAUUUGUAACAGUUCCCAAAGGUCUGUUAAGCUGUCCAGGAAUUACUAGAGUUGUGCAUGCUUUGGCCACACCCCCUUACUCCCAGCACACCUCUUGACACUACGGGGGCCAGGAGAGAUUUGUGUAAAGCUGGCUAUGCCAGCUGGGGGCUCCCCCGCGCCAGGUGAAUUUUCAGCUGCCCCAUUUAGGGCAGUUUACAGCCCUGUUGGUACUGCUGGAGGGACACAAAGGGCCGAACCAAAGGCUAGGAGCUGCCCUUGACUGUGGUAAACAAAAGGAAAACUGUAACUGAUGGAGCAAACUCAGGUGUUCUCCAAAGAGUUACUCCAGGAAUGAAUCUGAUCCAUCGGUGGAACAGGAUGCAGGAGGCAUCAUUUUGUUCAAGCUAUAACAGCAGAUUCUGAUCGUUAGAUGACCAGAAAUAAAUGAAGUAUUAGUUCCUAAACAGCACUAUGUCAAUAAAAUAUUAAUGUGUAAGAA